CUUUGAUGUAAGUGCCACCAGACAGUGGCAGCCAUGUUGGAGAGUCUGUAACACUUAGGCCACGUUAGGAUGUUCAUGAUGUCAAGGGACCAGGAACUGCCAGGUGAGUAGUGGGCAGAAGGUAGCUCCCCCAAAGGCAGGUCUGUGUGCUAUCUCCUGGGAUCCGAGAGUGUGACCUUAUUUGGAAAAAGAGUCUUGCAAGUAUAGCGGCGGGAAGAAGCUUGAGGUGAGGUCAUCCUGCACUUUGCGAACGGCUCUAAAUCCAACACAAGUGUCCUGUGAAGGUAGAGUCAGAGUCUAGAGUGAGUAGUCAAAGAUGCCUGGAAGCCCCAGAGCUGUAUCAGGCAGGAAGAAGCCUCCUCAGGGCCGGCAGCCAGUCCAACUUGACCUCAGACUUCUGUUGUCCUGAAUUGGGAAGGUAAAUUUAAGACCACCAGAUUUUAAUUUUAAUCUGAGGAGGCUCAAGACCAGAAUGCAUUUUGUGAGCCCCACACAGCUAGUUUUUGACCAAGGAGGCUAAUUCCCCACACUGCUGCAGUUCAGCAGGGGUCUGCAAGAGCUGGCCGACGGCAGGCCAGAGGCUUGGGGGAGGAUCAGAGGAGCAGAAGUACCCUGUCUGGAGUCCUCUUUUCUGCAUGUGUCGCCCAUUGGAAAACAAGUGUAAAGUCCCUCGAGUCACACACAGCCAGACUGGGCAGAAGCACUGAGCCAAGACCUCAGGUAUCUGGCUCCCAUAGGCCUCAUCAGACCUUGUGGAGUUUGAAAAUGAGACAAGGCUCCCUGCUUUGGGAGGGUAGAUACAGAGGCCAUCAGUCACAGGGUGGUGUUGGUUGCUGUCACAGAAGUUCUGCCAGGCAGGACCUAUAGCUCGCCAGCACGAUAGGGUGACCAGGCUGAUCCUCCAGGGACCAGCUGUCAGUGUGACACUCUCCAGAUGGAAUGUGUCCCCAAGAUGGGUGUGCUGUGCUAGGGCAUCUUUAGGCUAGAGUUCAGGCAGCCCUGGGGCAGGGCAGGCUCCCCUACUUUGUAUCCUCAGCUCUUCUUGUUAUUCUGAGGCUGGGUAAGUUUCUUCCAAACCUAUGUGUUCUUGGGGGAAGCGUGGCUAUCAUUCCUGAGAAGGAUGCGGGCCACUGGUUGGUUUGAUAAAUACAGCAGCAUGUCCUCCUUUUCUAGGGUGCAAUCCCUGUGUCUUCCAUCACAUAAACUCUGCCCCAUCCUUCACUGAAAGGUCUCUUCACACGUAUUUGUCUUCCCAGAAUACUGUCGGGGCUCUGCAUCUAAGCAUUUAGCGUUCUUUGCCCAGGGUUCAGCUCAGGUGCCGGUUCACUGUGAAGAUGCCCUAACACCUGGACCCCCACCGAGGUCAACCCUCUGAGCCCCUGAGCACAGCAUUAUUGGAGAAGCGUGCUGGUAGACAGUCCUGAGCUCCGCAUUGCUUCGAGGGGUCGAGUGUGCGACCCUGGC
rnacentral:lncRNA from 1 species